rnacentral:rRNA from 1 species
UACAGAGGGUGCGAGCGUUGUUCGGAAUUACUGGGCGUAAAGCGCGCGCAGGCGGCCCUUUAAGUCUACCCGUGAAAUGCCGGAGCUCAACUCCGUGCACGCCGGGGGAUACUGGGGGGCUGGAGACAUGUAGAGGCAAGCGGAAUUCCGGGUGUAGCGGUGGAAUGCGUAGAUAUCGGGAGGAACACCAGUGGCGAAGGCGACUACCUGGCCUGUUCUUGACGCUGAGGCGCGAAAGCUAGGGGAGCAAACGGG